rnacentral:rRNA from 1 species
AUUAGUAAAGUUUUUAUAAAAAUUUUGUAUGAAGUUCAUAUUAAGUUUUAAAAGUAAUUGGCGGUGUUUAAAUUAAAUUCUGGGGAACUUGUUUAUUUAAAAUGACAUUACACAUUAAAUUUUAUCUAAAGUAUAUUUUAUGUAUUGCUGUAUAGUUUAUUGUUUGUAAUGUAAAAUAAAUAAAAGAAAAAAAAUAUUUUUUAAUAAUUCAAGUCAAAAUGUAGAUUUCUUUAGGGAUGGAUGAGUUACUUUAUAGGAAAUAUAAUACUUUAAAGUUAAUAGCAUUGUUAAUUUUAAUGUUGGAUUAGGGUGUAAAAAGAAAUUAAUAAGUUUUUUUGAUAUAUUUAUUUUCAUGUACAAAUUGCCCGUCGCUUGAAAGUUUAAAAAUUUUUG